GACGUAGGGCGCGAGCGUUGUCCGGAAUUAUUGGGCGUAAAGAGCUCGUAGGCGGCUUGUUGCGUCGUCCGUGAAAUCCCGUGGCUCAACUGCGGGCUUGCGGACGAUACGGGCAGGCUAGAGUUCGGUAGGGGAGAAUGGAAUUCCUGGUGUAGCGGUGGAAUGCGCAGAUAUCAGGAGGAACACCAAUAGCGAAGGCAGCUCGCUGGGACGUUACUGACACUGAGGCGCGAAAGCGUGGGGAGCGAACAGG
rnacentral:rRNA from 1 species